UGAGAUUCUCCCUUUCCUUGAGCAGGUAAGGAAAGUUGACAUGCUUGACAGUGUGACAAUGUCUUACUGAAGAAAUAUGCUAGGGUUCCUAAUUUUACUUCUUCGUUUAGAAUGCAGUUAUUCCUUGUUUCAAUUUUGUGGUGGUUUUUUUUCCUUUAUUUACAUGUUAACCUUUAAAGUUGGGCAUAGCUUAUUGUUCUAGGUUUAAUCCAUUUGUGAUAUAUGUUGACAUAGGUUAGUGCCUCUUAU
rnacentral:lncRNA from 1 species